AUCGCUUCUUGGCUUUUUGCCUAAGAUCAAGUGUAGUAUCUGUUCUUAUCAGUUCAAUAUCUGAUACGUUCUCUAUCUGAGUACAACAUAUUAAAUUGGUUUUUGGAGUUUGGGGUUGGAAUAUGAGCUUGCCCUGUCCACUCCACCCAUUGACCUGGCAUUAUAGUACCUCUCGGAACGGUGCACCCCGU